GACGAACGCUGGCGGCGUGCUUAACACAUGCAAGUCGAACGGAAAGGCCCUGCUUUUGUGGGGUGCUCGAGUGGCGAACGGGUGAGUAACACGUGAGUAACCUGCCCUUGACUUUGGGAUAACUUCAGGAAACUGGGGCUAAUACCGGAUAGGAGCUCCUGCUGCAUGGUGGGGGUUGGAAAGUUUCGGCGGCUGGGGAUGGACUCGCGGCUUAUCAGCUUGUUGGUGGGGUAGUGGCUUACCAAGGCUUUGACGGGUAGCCGGCCUGAGAGGGUGACCGGCCACAUUGGGACUGAGAGACGGCCCAGACUCCUACGGGAGGCAGCAGUCGGGAAUAUUGCACAAUGGGCGGAAGCCUGAUGCAGCAACGCCGCGUGCGGGAUGACGGCCUUCGGGUUGUAAACCGCUUUCGCCUGUGACGAAGCGUGAGUGACGGUAAUGGGUAAAGAAGCACCGGCUAACUACGUG
rnacentral:rRNA from 1 species